CUCUCCUCAGAUGCUCCCGCCGUCCUGCCGAGAACACCAGCUUCCCACUCGCUUCCUGGACGGAUGGCAGCAUACCAGUAUGGAAGAAGGAAUAUGACUUGAGGAUUGUGAUUGGAAGUAACUAAUUCUUUGUACAAGCUAUCCUGCAACACCUAACUGAAUUACAUCUUGUUAGGGACUUCCAAAAACAGAUCUGUCAAGAGGUAAUAAGCGAGUCCUACCAAACAUGACUUUUCUCUGCGGUCUUCACUACCUCCUUGGACAGAACUCUGGAUCCAGUUAACAGCAGAAGGGGGAAAGAAGCAGCAAUAUUUCAAAUGUCCAUACUCUGAUCUGCAAAAGACACCGAGUAGGUAGAAGAAAACUGCAUUUUACUUCAGCUACCUAGAAGCAUAUGUAUAGAUCAUCAUCAUUGUAAAGAGGCAAACUUGUCACCAUCCAUCCAGUGCAUAAUUUAAUCGCACCCAUUAACUGUGGAC
rnacentral:lncRNA from 1 species